rnacentral:ncRNA from 2 species
GCGUGCUCCGGGGUCGGUGUAAGUCCGAACCGGCGGUGAUAGUCCGCGACCCGCGUAUCUGCGCGGUUGACCUGGUGGAAUUCCAGGACCGACGGUGAAAGUCCGGAUGGGAGGUGGCACGG